rnacentral:lncRNA from 1 species
AGCACCACAGGUGCUGGCGAGGACAGGAAACAGCCAAGUGAGAGGAGAUAACCCCUAGGGCCCCUGGAAAUUAGAGCUCCUUGGGAAAGAUGGAAAGUGGAAGCUAAAUGAGGAGAGUUUCAAAGGUGGCUCUUGACCCAAAAGAUGCUAUCAUAACUUUUAAAGGAGAAUUGAGUGAAAGAAUAAGAGUUUUCUACCCUCUGUGGAACUAAGUGGAGUUCAGUCUCAGAAUCGUCACACACCAAAGAGGCUGCCCACAGUGAAGUGACUGCUGGAUACUCCCUCAGAAUCUGUCGUCCAGCCUUUGAGAAAAUCUCGUGGUCACGUAUUUGACCACCAAGCCAAAGCAAAGGAUGCAGCCCCUCGGCGCCCAGG